rnacentral:lncRNA from 13 species
AUGGGCACGCUCUCUUCGAAGCUCACGCGACGGAAGACUGCAGUUGUCUCGGUCAUAGUCACGGAGCGGGAUGAUCCGGUGUGGACAGCAGCGAACGAGAACCACCUGACCGAAACUGGACCGAAUGCCGUAAUUAAAAAUGCGGUUCAAAAGGUCGCUCCAGAGAUGCAGAAUGUUUCUGUCAUCAGCGAGGAAGGUGACUCACUGCACUCCAUCUUCACGGUGCACCAGCCAUCCCACCCAACAUCCCACCAGCCACCCCACCUCUCAUCCUGGCCACUGAGGACCAGGUGUAGCACUGUGGGGGUCCGGCCUAGGCUGCAGCCAAGGACAGGGCCUAGGACAGGAGGAUCAGGGAAGGAGAACAAUGUAACUGCAGCCAAAGACCCCAGGAUCAGGCAGAAGUACAAAAACACAUCUCAAAGAUUGAGAUGCCUGGUGAAGCAGCUGGACAAGGGAGAGGUGAACGUGGUGGACCUGAGGAAGAAUAUAGAGUAUGCAGCCUCUGUUCUAGAGGCAGUCUAUAUUGAUGAAACCAGGCGUCUUCUGGACACUGAGGAUGAGCUCAGUGACAUCCAGGCGGACUCUGUGCCCAUGGAGGUGCGUGAUUGGCUGGCCUCAACCUUCACCAGGAAGAUGGGCGUGGUCAGGAGACGACCCGAGGAGAAACCACGGUUCAGGAGCAUCGUCCAUGCCGUGCAGGCUGGCAUCUUCGUCGAGAGGAUGUACAGACGGACGUCUAACAUGGCUGGGCUGACGUACCCUCCAGCUGCCAUCGCUGUUUUGAAGGAUGUAGAUAAAUGGGCCUUUGAUGUGUUUGCCCUCCACGAGUCUAAUACUCUAACCACCUGUCUUAACCUCCCUGUUCUUCCCCAGAUUCCAGUUUCAUCUCUGGUGACCUUCGUAGAGGCUCUAGAGGUGGGCUACAGCAAACACAGAAACCCCUACCACAACCUCAUCCACGCUGCUGACGUCACACAGACAGCACACUAUCUGAUGCUCCACACUGGCAUUAUGCACUGGCUCACUGAACUGGACAUUCUAGCCAUGGUGUUUGCUGCAGCUAUCCAUGACUUUGAACACACUGGGACAACCAACAACUUUCACAUUCAGACCAGGUCAGAGGUGGCCAUCCUGUACAAUGACCGGUCAGUCCUGGAGAACCACCAUGUCAGUGCUGCCUACAGACUUAUGCAAGAAGAUGAGAUGAACAUACUGGUCAACCUGUCAAAAGAUGACUGGCGAGAACUGCGGACUCUGGUGAUUGAGAUGGUGAUGAGUACAGACAUGUCCUGCCAUUUCCAGCAGAUCAAAACCAUGAGGAACGCCCUGCAGCAGCCCGAGGGAGUAGACAAGGCUAAAGCCCUAUCUCUGAUGCUGCAUGCAGCUGACAUCAGCCACCCAGCCAAGGCCUGGAAGCUGCACUACCGAUGGACACAGGCCCUGAUGGAGGAGUUCUUCAGACAGGGCGAUAAGGAGGUUGAGUUAGGGCUGCCAUUCUCCCCUCUGUGUGAUCGUAAAGCUACCAUGAUUGCCCAGUCACAAAUAGGGUUCAUUGACUUCAUAGUAGAACCCACAUUCUCUGUGUUGGUGGACACGACAGAGAAGAUCAUUACACCUCUCAUAGAGGAUACCUUAAAGUCACACGACACUGGUGUCCGCAGGUCAAGUGGUCGAGGGUCCAGCCAGGGGGUUGACCAGGGGCUCACUACAGACUAUAGCCUGGCUGGCAUUGACCUGAAACGGGUCAGACACACACUGGCAGAGGUCAUCCAACACAACAAAGACAGAUGGAAGGAGCUCUCUGUACAAGGUAUAGUUGUUGUUGUUGUUGUUGUUGUUGCUCUUCUUCCUUUUUUUUCUUUGUCUUCUUCAGUCACCUGA